GACGAACGCUGGCGGCGUGCCUAAUACAUGCAAGUUGAGCGCUGAAGGUUGGUACUUGUACCAACUGGAUGAGCAGCGAACGGGUGAGUAACGCGUGGGGAGUCUGCCUUUGAGCGGGGGACAACAUUUGGAAACGAAUGCUAAUACCGCAUAAAAACUUUAAACACAAGUUUUAAGUUUGAAAGAUGCAAUUGCAUCACUCAAAGAUGAUCCCGCGUUGUAUUAGCUAGUUGGUGAGGUAAAGGCUCACCAAGGCGAUGAUACAUAGCCGACCUGAGAGGGUGAUCGGCCACAUUGGGACUGAGACACGGCCCAAACUCCUACGGGAGGCAGCAGUAGGGAAUCUUCGGCAAUGGACGAAAGUCUGACCGAGCAACGCCGCGUGAGUGAAGAAGGUUUUCGGAUCGUAAAACUCUGUUGGUAGAGAAGAACGUUGGUGAGAGUGGAAAGCUCAUCAAGUGACGGUAACUACCCAGAAAGGGGCGGCUAACUACGUG
rnacentral:rRNA from 1 species